rnacentral:rRNA from 1 species
AUGCAUGUCUAAGCAGAAGCCGCACAACGGUAAAGCCGCGAAUGGCUCAUUACAACAGCCGUCGUUUCUUGGAUCUCUAAUUUUACUUGGAUAACUGUGGUAAUUCUAGAGCUAAUACACGCACUAAAGCUCCGACCUUACGGGACGAGCGCAUUUAUUAGAACAAAACCAAUCGGGUUUCGGCCCGUUCGUUGGUGACUCUGAAUAACUAAGCCGAUCGCACGGUCUCGUACCGGCGACGUAUCUUUCAAGUGUCUGCCUUAUCAACUUUCGAUGGUAGUUUAUGUGCCUACCAUGGUUGUAACGGGUAACGGAGAAUAAGGGUUCGACUCCGGAGAGGGAGCCUGAGAAACGGCUACCACAUCCAAGGAAGGCAGCAGGCGCGCAAAUUACCCACUCUCGGCACGAGGAGGUAGUGACGAAAAAUAACGAGACGGAUCUCUUUGAGGCCCGUUAUCGGAAUGAGAACAAUUCAAAUCCUUUAACGAGGAUCUAGCGGAGGGCAAGUCUGGUGCCAGCAGCCGCGGUAAUUCCAGCUCCGCAGGUGUAUAUCUAUGCUGCUGCGGUUAAAAAGCUCGUAGUUGGAUCUGCGUGCUCGGAACCGGUUGGCUCACUGAGUUUAAACUGGUCUCCGGCGCUUUAUCGGCUGGUUUUCCCUUGAUGCUCUUAACCGGGUGUCUUGGGUGGCUAGCGCGUUUACUUUGAAAAAAUUAGAGUGCUCAAUACAGGCGCAAAGCCUUGAAUAGUGGUGCAUGGAAUAAUAGAAUAGGACCUCGGUUCUAUUUUGUUGGUUUUCGGAACAUGAGGUAAUGAUUAAGAGGGACAGACGGGGGCAUUCGUAUUGCGACGUUAGAGGUGAAAUUCUUGGAUCGUCGCAAGACGGACGACUGCGAAAGCAUUUGCCAAGAAUGUUUUCAUUAAUCAAGAACGAAAGUUAGAG